rnacentral:rRNA from 1 species
UACGUAGGGGGCAAGCGUUGUCCGGAAUCAUUGGGCGUAAAGCGAGCGUAGGCGGCCCGAUAAGUCUGCUGUAAAAGUCAACGGCUCAACCGUUGAAAGCCGGUGGAUACUGUCGGGCUAGAGUUCGGAAGAGGCAAGUGGAAUUCCUGGUGUAGCGGUGGAAUGCGUAGAUAUCUGGAGGAAUACCGGUGGCGAAGGCGGCAUCCUGGACCGGCAUUGACGCUGAGGAGCGAAAGCCAGGGGAGCAAACGGG